UACGGAGGGUGCAAGCGUUAUCCGGAUUCACUGGGUUUAAAGGGUGCGUAGGUGGGCUUGUAAGUCAGUGGUGAAAUCUCCGUGCUUAACAUGGAAACUGCCAUUGAUACUAUAGGUCUUGAAUUUUCUUGAGGUCAGCGGAAUAUGUCAUGUAGCGGUGAAAUGCUUAGAUAUGACAUAGAACACCAAUUGCGAAGGCAGCUGGCUACAGGGAUAUUGACACUGAGGCACGAAAGCGUGGGGAGCAAACAGG
rnacentral:rRNA from 1 species